rnacentral:rRNA from 1 species
UGCGUAGGUGGUGAGUUAAGUCUGAUGUGAAAUCCCCGGGCUCAACCUGGGAAUGGCAUUGGAUACUGGCUUGCUGGAGUGCGGUAGAGGGUGGUGGAAUUCCCGGUGUAGCAGUGAAAUGCGUAGAGAUCGGGAGGAACAUCUGUGGCGAAGGCGGCCACCUGGACCAGCACUGACACUGAGGCACGAAAGCGUGGGGAGCAAACA